rnacentral:lncRNA from 1 species
UUUGGUCAACUAGUACGGCAUAUCAGUGUUAAUGCGAGAGGUGUGAGCCUAAGGGAUGACUGAGAAAGUUUCCGAGCACAUGCAGGGUAUAGUUUUCUUCCCCCUUAUAUAUCAUAAACAGUACAUGCCAAGAAAGAAUAGACACAUAUACACAAUGCUCAAUGACUGUAAUCUUAUAUGUAAAUCAAACUAAAGAAAACUCAAGGUCCUAAAAUUAUGAAGCGAGUUGACGAAAGCAAAUGACUGUAGUGUGACAGCCUUCUUCAGCCAAUUACCUCUGAGCUCGAGUCAUCAGAAGGCCAUAUCACGGUCUCCAUGAGGCGUUCACGCAUCAACGCCAAGUUCUCAUCAGAUAUAUCUUGGUAUAUCUUCCCAUGGUCGCAUUUCUACAAGUAACAACAAAACUACACAAGAUUAGUUUUGAGUCUUUUCUGGUUCACAUGGCAAAACCGGGUAAUAAUAUUGGUCCAGAUAUAGUGUUGGGUUUGCGAGUUGAUCUGUCCGUCGCUGGACGGAUCAAAUAAUUUUUUAUUCAGAAAAAUAACCCAUUUGACCCGUAAACAAAAAGUUUAAAAGACACAUCUGCCCUGCUAAAAUCCGCCGGAACUGCGGGUAAUAUUAGUUAUAUUAAAAAUAUUUAUUUUAAUUAUAUAUUAAUUAAUUUUAAAAAAUAAGAUUAAAAUAAUAUAUUUAUAAUUAAAUUUUUAUAAAUAUUUUUUAUAUGUUUAAUAAUUUUUACCAAAAUAGUUUUAAAAUUCUUUUACCAAUCAAAGCUGUUAGUACUAGUAGUAUUUGAUAACGAGCUGUCAGCAAACCAAACUCCCAAAACGUUUGCCAGUGAACCAAUCAGCUUUUAGUUCGAUGUGAAACAUUUUUUUAAUAAUAUAUAUUAAUUCAACCCGAAAAUCGGAAUUUAGAUCUGUUUACAAACAGGUUUUGAACAAAAUUUUCAAAGUCAAACUAUUACAAAACUAGCUUCGCCCGCCCACUAAAUCCGGCACAUUCCGCUAGUCCGUUUUUGAAAUUCCUUAGAAUUGCUUACUGUUCUCAACCAUCAACCAGAAUCCCGAAAAAGUGAGGUUCUCCUUAUUGCCUCGGAUGCUGAGAUUUCUCGGUUCGUCUCCACAGUAGCUAGCUACCAAUAAACUCCACCAAACUUGUAACCGUCACUAUCUUUGAAGCGCUAGAUGACCAAUAGGGAGGGUUCCGGAUACUUACCACACCAAGGCACGUGUUGUACGCAGCCUCACACAACGCUUGAAACCACCUCCCAACCAAGCAAAGAGGUUGUAAGAAAUUUUGUUAAUAGCUGACGCAACCGCCAAAUGCUAACACGUAACACCGUAACCGCUACGGUUAAGAGUGGAACCUAUCAAAGGUAUUUGAAAAUCAGCCAAACGCUUACACCGUAAUAAGCAUAGAUAGCACUUGUGCACGGUGAGUUUAGAUGGAGCACCACCGCCGAAUUCGAGUCUAGCUUCGAGCUCACCAACUUCCCUGCAGUACUAUCACCUGAUCACCUCUCUUUCUUUCAGCUGAAUCUCUCACUAGUCUUAUGAAUGAUCUGAUUCCUAUUUGUUUCCUUCCUUUUGAUCAAGUAGUGCCCACUAUGAUCCACAUCACAACCUCUUAUGCGUUGUCUCAGGGUGUAUAAAGGGUUAAACCAAUUGUUUCCUCCGAGUUAAACUGUCAGGAAGUUGUUUCUGUUAUUUUCUUUUUUCAUAGUGGAAUCAAAUUGGUAAGGUAUAAAUGAAAUUGCUUCAUGUCCAGUGCUAUUAGCCUGCUGUAAUUAUUUGACUUUCAUGAUCAUGUUUGGUCAACUAGUACGGCAUAUCAGUGUUAAUGCGAGAGGUGUGAGCCUAAGGGAUGACUGAGAAAGUUUCCGAGCACAUGCAGGGUAUAGUUUUCUUCCCCCUUAUAUAUCAUAAACAGUACAUGCCAAGAAAGAAUAGACACAUAUACACAAUGCUCAAUGACUGUAAUCUUAUAUGUAAAUCAAACUAAAGAAAACUCAAGGUCCUAAAAUUAUGAAGCGAGUUGACGAAAGCAAAUGACUGUAGUGUGACAGCCUUCUUCAGCCAAUUACCUCUGAGCUCGAGUCAUCAGAAGGCCAUAUCACGGUCUCCAUGAGGCGUUCACGCAUCAACGCCAAGUUCUCAUCAGAU